CAGCCCUAAACGGUGCGCGUUAGGUGUAUCGGUGACCACGAGUCACCGAGGUGCCGAAGGGAAACCGUGAAACGUGCCGCCUGGGAAGUACGGUCGCAAGGCUGAAACUUAAAGGAAUUGGCGGGGGAGCACCAUAACGGGUGGAGCCUGCGGUUUAAUUGGACUCAACGCCGGGAAGCUCACCGGAUAAGACAGCGGAAUGAUUGCCGGGCUGAAGACCCUGCAUGACCAGCUGAGAGGAGGUGCAUGGCGUAGUCGUGU
rnacentral:rRNA from 1 species